rnacentral:lncRNA from 1 species
CUCUGAUAUAUAGAGGCCUGUUCAUUAGCUUAGCUUUUUAGCCCCUGUUUGAGCUCCAUUACACUAAAUUCUAUUACAUUUCAUUUUUCUCUCUCCUAUUUUCAACCACACAAUCUUUCAUAAAAUAAUAUUACACAUAAAUAGAAAACUUUUCAUUCUUUUUCAACCACUCAUUUUUCAAAAAAACACUAUUCCCCCCAUUAAUUUUUCUACGUAAUGGGGAUCAAAC